UUCUCUAAGAACUAAAAUUUAAAGUAAAACCUGCUCAAUGUUUAAAAUAAAUAGCCGCAAUAAAUGUGCUAAGGUAGCAUAAUAACUUGCUUUAUAAUUAAAAGAUAGAAUGAACGGUUAAACAAUAAAAAACUGUUUCCUUUAAAUUAAAAAAAUUAACUUUAAAGUUAAAAUUCUUUAAUAUAAAAAUAAGACGACAAGACCCUAACAAACUUAAACAAUUAGUUGGGGUGACAUAUUAAUAUAAUCCUUAAUAUUAAAAAUUCACAAAACCUAAAAAGAAAAAGACUAGUUACUGUAGGGAUAACAGCGCAAUUUCUUUUAAAAGCUCUAAUUUAAAAAGAAGAUUACGACCUCGAUGUUGAAUUAUUUUAACUAUUUGGUGCAAAAACUAAAAAAGAAAGUCUGUUCGACUAAUAAUAAAAU
rnacentral:rRNA from 1 species